UGUGCAGAACCAACUGUCUCCACCUCACCCGUCGCAUUGCCCCUCCCUUACUGUGCACCUUCAUUACCCCGUACAACUAUCUAAAGGGUAGGCGAAGAUAAAGGAACACCAAAAUCAUUGAAAAUAGCUAGAUUUCCUUUUAAUUGUCCUUUUGCUUUACUUAGCAGGCCAUGUUUUAAUUAGGAGAGCUCCUUAAACCACACGGUGGCAGUGUAAUCACGCGAGUGAGUCUCAGCGCAUCAGCCUACGGCUCUGAAGCCCUGAUAAAUUAAGAGAUGAUCCGGAAAGCUAUGCAUCUGGGAUUCUGAUAACAAUCAACGGUCCAUAAGUGGCAGUAACUGUAUCUCCUGCCUUGCUGGUCUUUGGCAGUGAAAUUUUGCAACUCUUCCAAACAGAGAGUAGAAUCCCUUUGUCUACCUCACCAAAUCUGGUUCGCCUUGGGAUGCAUCAUAACCAACAGGAAGAGGUUGCUGGAAGAAAGUCACUUUGCUGUUUGGAGAAGUCGCUGCUGAUAAGCUAACUGAGGUUACUGCUGAUUGUUCAGGGUGCUGCUCCCCAGUACCACUGAAACAAUUCUUAAGUGACUAUUCACGUGCAGUUCUGCUGCAGGCCUGGAGUGGGGAUCUCAGAAGCCGUUCCCAAUAAAGUAUAUUCAGCAGCUGCUUUAAGGAAAUGUUGUCAGAAUAAAUUAAAUUUACCCAGGCUGAAAACGGGACCGCUAACAGCAGUGGCCAAGAAGACAAGGUUCAAUAAUUGUAUUGCCCCCCCCCCUUCUCAGUUUCCUCACCUGCAACGGGGGAUCAAUAAAAACAUCCCCAC